rnacentral:rRNA from 1 species
ACGCUGGCGGCGUGCCUAAUACAUGCAAGUAGAACGCUGAAGGAGGAGCUUGCUUCUCCGGAUGAGUUGCGAACGGGUGAGUAACGCGUAGGUAACCUGCCUGGUAGCGGGGGAUAACUAUUGGAAACGAUAGCUAAUACCGCAUAAGAGUAGAUGUUGCAUGACAUUUGCUUAAAAGGUGCAAUUGCAUCACUACCAGAUGGACCUGCGUUGUAUUAGCUAGUUGGUGGGGUAACGGCUCACCAAGGCGACGAUACAUAGCCGACCUGAGAGGGUGAUCGGCCACACUGGGACUGAGACACGGACCAGACUCCUACGGGAGGCAGCAGUAGGGAAUCUUCGGCAAUGGACGGAAGUCUGACCGAGCAACGCCGCGUGAGUGAAGAAGGUUUUCGGAUCGUAAAGCUCUGUUGUAAGAGAAGAACGAGUGUGAGAGUGGAAAGUUCACACUGUGACGGUAUCUUACCAGAAAGGGACGGCUAACUACGUGCCAGCAGCCGCGGUAAUACGUAGGUCCCGAGCGUUGUCCGGAUUUAUUGGGCGUAAAGCGAGCGCAGGCGGUUAGAUAAGUCUGAAGUUAAAGGCUGUGGCUUAACCAUAGUACGCUUUGGAAACUGUUUAACUUGAGUGCAAGAGGGGAGAGUGGAAUUCCAUGUGUAGCGGUGAAAUGCGUAGAUAUAUGGAGGAACACCGGUGGCGAAAGCGGCUCUCUGGCUUGUAACUGACGCUGAGGCUCGAAAGCGUGGGGAGCAAACAGGAUUAGAUACCCUGGUAGUCCACGCCGUAAACGAUGAGUGCUAGGUGUUAGACCCUUUCCGGGGUUUAGUGCCGCAGCUAACGCAUUAAGCACUCCGCCUGGGGAGUACGACCGCAAGGUUGAAACUCAAAGGAAUUGACGGGGGCCCGCACA